ACAUAGCUCAGCCAGUAGACUACCAAACCACAUAGCUCAGCCAGUAGACUACCAAACCACAUAGCUCAGCCAGUAGACUACCAAACCACCUAGCUCAGCCAGUAGACUACCAAACCACAUUACAAUUGCAGCAAAUGCAUUUCCAUCCAUAUCCUGAAGCUAAUUGACAAAAGUUGUGUUUCCCACAGGGAGGUCUGUACUUACUGUACUGGAGAGAGUCCACCACAGAAUGGCCUGUAUAUGUGAUGAGCUCUAUUGGGAAUGAUUGGCCUCCUGUUUCUGUGGAUGACACAAGGGCAGGUGUAACACUUGACCAACAUGACAUUGAUGUGACAUUCAGUUCUGGUUGAUGUAGGACAGAUUCAGUACUGGUUGCUAUAGGACAGGUUAGGUACUGGAAGCUGUAGGACAGGUUCAGUACUGGUUGCUAUAGGACAGGUUAGGUACUGGUUGCUAGAGGACAGGUUAGGUACUGGAAGAUGAAGCACAGGUUCAGUACUGGUUGCUAUAGGACAGGUUAGGUACUGGAAGCUGUAGGACAGGUUCAGUACUGGUUGCUAUAGGACAGGUUAGGUACUGGAAGCUGUAGGACAGGUUCAGUACUGGUUGCUAUAGGACAGGUUAGGUACUGGAAGCUGUAGGACAGGUUCAGUACUGGUUGCUAUAGGACAGGUUAGGUACUGGAAGCUGUAGGACAGGUUAGGUACUGGAAGCUGUAGGACAGGUUCAGUACUGGUUGCUAUAGGACAGGUUAGGUACUGGAAGCUGUAGGACAGGUUCAGUGCUGGUUGCUAGAGGACAGGUAAAAUACUGUUUGUGUUGCUUGUUGUUUGUCUGUUAACAUGACUCUGAGCAUACAGAAGGAUCAGUGGAAAGUGUAUACCAUGGGACAGAUACACGGUAUUGCAUUGAAAGGAUCCAGGUAUGUCCUUACAGCAUGUGUUUUGGUCGAUGGCUUUGAUUCUGUUGUAUAAUGUUCACUGAACUGUUUUCUGUUCUUAGAUGGAAAACCACUCCAUAGAACCUCAUACCCAGAAAAUCAAUAUCCUCAUACUACAUUCAUACUGUUGCUAAGUCAUAUUCCAGAAAUAUUUAAUUAAAGGAUGUUUUUUUUAUUUUUUAUUGUUUUGUAAAAUAAACUUUAUAUAAAUGUGGAAUUCUUUCCAA
ensembl:lncRNA